UACGAAGGGUGCAAGCGUUACUCGGAAUUACUGGGCGUAAAGCGUGCGUAGGUGGUGAGUUAAGUCUGUCGUGAAAGCCCCGGGCUCAACCUGGGAAUGGCGAUGGAUACUGGCUCGCUAGAGUGCGGUAGAGGAGAGUGGAAUUCCCGGUGUAGCAGUGAAAUGCGCAGAUAUCAGGAGGAACACCAAUUGCGAAGGCAGCUCGCUGGGACGGUACUGACGCUGAGACGCGAAAGCGUGGGGAGCGAACAGG
rnacentral:rRNA from 1 species